CGAACGCUGGCGGCGUGCCUAAUACAUGCAAAUUGAGCGCUGAAGGUUGGUACUUGUACCGACUGGAUGAGCAGCGAACGGGUGAGUAACGCGUGGGGAAUCUGCCUUUGAGCGGGGGACAACAUUUGGAAACGAAUGCUAAUACCGCAUAAAAACUUUAAACACAAGUUUUAAGUUUGAAAGAUGCAAUUGCAUCACUCAAAGAUGAUCCCGCGUUGUAUUAGCUAGUUGGUGAGGUAAAGGCUCACCAAGGCGAUGAUACAUAGCCGACCUGAGAGGGUGAUCGGCCACAUUGGGACUGAGACACGGCCCAAACUCCUACGGGAGGCAGCAGUAGGGAAUCUUCGGCAAUGGACGAAAGUCUGACCGAGCAACGCCGCGUGAGUGAAGAAGGGUUUCGGAUCGUAAAACUCUGUUGGUAGAGAAGAACGUUGGUGAGAGUGGAAAGCUCAUCAAGUGACGGUAACUACCCAGAAAGGGACGGCUAACUACGUG
rnacentral:rRNA from 1 species